rnacentral:tRNA from 1 species
GAGGGUGUAGCUCAGUGGGACAGUGUGUGCCUGGCAUGCACGAGGUCCUGGGUUCAAUCCUCAGUACCUCCA